rnacentral:rRNA from 1 species
UACGGAGGGUGCAAGCGUUAUCCGGAUUCACUGGGUUUAAAGGGUGCGUAGGUGGGUUGGUAAGUCAGUGGUGAAAUCUCCGAGCUUAACUUGGAAACUGCCAUUGAUACUAUCAGUCUUGAAUAUUGUGGAGGUCAGCGGAAUAUGUCAUGUAGCGGUGAGAUGCUUAGAUAUGACAUAGAACACCAAUUGCGAAGGCAGCUGGCUACACAUGUAUUGACUCUGAGGCACGAAAGCGUGGGGAUCAAACAGG